rnacentral:lncRNA from 1 species
GCAGAUCACUGAAGCAUCACUCCUGAAUGUUCCUCUGUACCCUCAAUAUGCAUUUGCACUACCAGUGAUCUCAAGAAUUCUAGAAAAUGAAAACUGGAUUACCAUCACCAAUGUCUAGGAACUCUGAGUCCUAUGGCUCUUGAUAUCUAGCAUCCUGGCUUCACUCACAUGGAUGAGCCCCAGCUGGAAUGCCUAGAAGACGUGGGACAGCUGGAUCUCUCUCCACACGGUUUUUCAUUGUUGCCUCAGGUUCCAAUAAAAGCAAAAGCUGCAAGGUCUUCUGAGGCAAAGACUUAGAAAUACCACAAUGUUACUUCUGCUGCAUUCUGUUGAUAAAAAAAAUCCCACAAUGCCAGCUUCAUUUAAAGCAGUAAAGAUAUAGAUUAUUCACCUUCGAUGGGAGGAACUGCAAAUGAUGUAAUUAGUGAUAAUUUUUAAUAUACUGUAAUGUAUUGACUUAUCUUUAAAAAAUGAAAAAAUAAACCA